AACGUAGGAGACAAACGUUAUCCGGAGUUACUGGGCGUAAAGGGCGUGCAGGCGGUCUGUUAAGUCUGGCGUGAAAGCUCUCGGCUAAACCGGGAGAGGUCGUUGGAUACUGACGGACUAGAGGACGGUAGAGGCGUGUGGAAUUCCGGGUGUAGUGGUGAAAUGCGUAGAGAUCCGGAGGAACACCAGUGGCGAAGGCGACACGCUGGGCCGUACCUGACGCUAAGACGCGACAGCAUGGGGAGCGAACGGGAUUAGAAACCCCGGUAGUCCAUGCCGUAAACGAUGCCAGCUAGGUGUUCAAGACGCGCAAGCGGCUGGGGUACCGAAGCUAACGCGAUAAGCUGGCCGCCUGGGGAGUACGGUCGCAAGGCUAAA
rnacentral:rRNA from 1 species